rnacentral:rRNA from 1 species
ACGGAGGGUGCAAGCGUUAUUCGGAAUUACUGGGCGUAAAGCGCGCGUAGGCGGUCUUGCAAGUCUGAUGUGAAAGCCCCGGGCUUAACCCGGGAAGUGCAGUGGAAACUGUGGGACUAGAGUACUGGAGAGGAUGGGGGAAUUCCCGGUGUAGAGGUGGAAUGCGUAGAGAUCAGGAGGAAUAUCAAUGGCGAAGGCGGGCAUCUGGGCAGUAACUGACGCUGAGGCGCGAAAGCGUGGGGAGCAAACAG